rnacentral:rRNA from 1 species
CGGCACGGGUGAGUAACACGUAGGUAAUCUACCUUUGAGUGGGGAAUAACCCGGGGAAACCCGAGCUAAUACCGCAUAAUGCAGCGGCACCUUCGGGUGACAGUUGUUAAAGGAGCAAUCCGCUUAAAGAGGAGCCUGCGGCAGAUUAGCUAGUUGGUAAGGUAAUGGCUUACCAAGGCUACGAUCUGUAACCGACCUGAGAGGGUGGUCGGUCACACUGACACUGAAUAACGGGUCAG